rnacentral:lncRNA from 10 species
CUACAUUUUAAAUUUUAUUCCUAAACUAAUACAUAUUCAUUUUAUGUCUUUAAUGUCUUCAAAAGGCAGAAAAUAACUGAAAAAAUAUGGAAAAUAACCACAGAAAAAUUUUACUUUGUGUGCUUGUGUAUGCAUUGCCUAUUACUACUGUAACAGAUUAUCACAAAUUUAUGGGCUUAAAACAAUACUUCUAGUUCUUCGUUUUAGUGCCUUAAAACACCACUUGUAUCUUCUAGUUCUGGAGGUCAGAAGUCUCACUAGGCUAAACUCAAGGUGUCAGGACUGCAUUCCUGCUGGAGCUUGAGGGGAGACUCUUUCCUUGCCUUUUCCAGCUUCUAGAGACCUCUUGCAUUCUUUGCUUGCGGUUCCUUUCUCUAUCUUCAAAUUCAGCCACAUACCAUCUUCAAAUCUCUCUCAUCUUCCUG